AGUCUGGUGCCAGCAGCCGCGGUAAUUCCAGCUCCAAUAGCGUAUAUUAAAGUUGUUGCGGUUAAAAAGCUCGUAGUUGGAUCUCGGUUUCACUCAGGUGGUACACCUUGCGGUGUUCACUAUCUGGGUGGACGUUUCUGUUGGUUCGCUCUUGGUGCUCUUCAUCGGGUGCCAUUUGGUGGCCAGCACGUUUACUUUGAAAAAAUUGGAGUGCUCAAAGCAGGCGUUACAGCCUGAACAUUAGUGCAUGGAAUAAUGGAAUAGGAUCUCGAUUCUAUUUCGUUGGCUUUCGGAGUCGAGGUAAUGAUUAAUAGGGACAGACGGGGGCAUUCGUACUGCGACGUUAGAGGUGAAAUUCUUGGAUCGUCGCAAGACGAACUACUGCGAAAGCAUUUGCCAAGAAUGUUUUCAUUAAUCAAGAACGAAAGUUAGAGGUUCGAAGGCGAUCAGAUACCGCCCUAGUUCUAACCAUAAACGAUGCCAACCGGCGAUCCGUCGUCGUUAAUUGAAUGACUCGACGGGCAGCCUCCGGGAAACCAGAGUGUUUGGGUUCCGGGGGAAGUAUGGUUGCAAAGCUGAAACUUAAAGGAAUUGACGGAAGGGCACCACCAGGAGUGGAGCCUGCGGCUUAAUUUGACCCAACACGGGAAAUCUCACCAGGCCCGGACACCGGAAGGAUUGACAGAUUGAGAGCUCUUUCUUGAUUCGGUGGGUGGUGGUGCAUGGCCGUUCUUAGUUGGUGGAGCGAUUUGUCUGGUUAAUUCCGAUAACGAACGAGACUCUGGCCUACUAACUAGAAGGUCUAUCCUUUAUGGGUAGGCCUCUGCUUCUUAGAGGGUCGGGCGGCGUUUAGCCGCACGAGAAUGAGCAAUAACAGGUCUGUGAUGCCCUUAGAUGUUCUGGGCUGCACGCGCGCUACACUGAAGGAAUCAGCAUGUUCUCCCCUCCCUGAAAAGGGCGGGUAACCCGUUGAAACUCCUUCGUGAUGGGGAUUGGAGAUUGUAAUUAUUCUCCAUGAACGAGGAAUUCCCAGUAGGCGCGAGUCAUCAGCUUGCGUCGAUUACGUCCCUGCCCUUUGUACACACCGCCCGUCGCUACUACCGAUCGAGUGAUUUAGUGAGGACUUCGGACUGGUCUCCAAGUUGGCUUCGGUCGGCUCGAAGUUCCGGAAAGAUGCCCAAACUUGAUCACUUAGA
rnacentral:rRNA from 1 species